AUGAGAGAGCGCUGCUGCGUACAUAAGGAAUAAGACAAGACAUUUACGUCCCCGGAUCCAAUCUGAGCAAACUCCACCUGGGUUGGUGGCCCUGCAUGUCCUCGUUCAAAAGGGAACGCAACAACACUCUGCGCCCCAGCAAAGACCUCCCCAAACACACACUUCUUUUUUUUUUUAAAGCGAACCUGACCAGGCGACCGUUGAGUGCGCGCGAUGGCCACUCGUUCUUUUCCUCCACAAGCUUCUCUCUCACUUCAGGUAGAUCGCCGCGAGAGAGAAAGCGCGACAAUACCAACUUUCUGAAGCCGUUGGCUAUGUGUUGGUUUCCCCCGCUAUUGGUUUUCUCCCCCUCACGCCCACUGGGCUUCUCGCUCGUUCGAAAUUCUCCGCUGCGCAUCCUGAUUGGUCGCCAGGGUCAGCUGACAGGGGUCGUUUAACGUCACCACGUAUUGAACUCUUCUCUCCCCACCCGCUUUCUGUGCCUGAGCGAAAAAAGCUUGGAAAGUGUCCGAAACCUGGUGAUGUGUUAAAACACAUAAGAGGUGGGAAUGCAAGAGAGUGCUUAAAGACUGAAGAAUGGUAACACUUGAACAGAGGUGCACCUAGAGCUUGAACUUCAUGUGGUGGUUCAUCCAGAAGAGCACUUUGGAUCAUCAACCACAAAGGAUGGAGGACACUUCAUGUAACAGAAGACAGGAAGAAUAGAAAUAAAUCAACUGUAGUCUGAUAUUAAACUAUGCAACAAACUGUU